CACUCUCACACUCCGACAGCACCGGCAUCGUGCUGUGGUUCUCAUGUUUUACCGCAUCCGUGGGCAGCACUGGAGAGAUUUGGACCCGCAUCCUCCGAUCUUGGCUGCAUGGUUUAACCGCAGGAUGUCUUCUCACACAAACGCACACGUGUCUCAGCAGCGGGAUGCAAAGGUGUGUGUUUUUCCUGCAGUGGACCGUGGGGGAGACAUGCAGAGGUGAGAGGGGUGACCCAUGCCCGUGUAAAAGCAGGGUGGUGCCACCACACUUUUCCAUGUGACACCCCCAAGUUUGGGUUCUGCUGCGUCCUCACUGGCUCGUGAUGCUGCCUCAUGCACUCCACCCCCUUCGCCUUUUUUUUUUUUUUUUUUGCGCUUUCCCAGCAUCAGCAGCAGCACGCACGCACGCACGCAGCGGCUGCUCGUGCAGGCAGGCAGGCAGGCGCACAGCACAGCGUCCACCCAACACACCACAGAGAAAGAGAGACGUCAUUCAGGCUCGUGCAGGACAAUGGGGUCCACUGUGCUUAACGGGAGAUGUUUGCCAUUCUAUGCACGCGGUGCACACGAUAGCGGGUGUGCACUGAGGGUGUGUGCGCGCGCGUAUAGUGUGUGUGUGUUUGCUGGGAGGACUGGAGGAGCGGAGACCCGGCAGCUCCGCGCACUACGCACCGUCAUCUACGGCUGCAGGAAGACCCUGACCUGAACCGAUUAUUGAUGAAGCACAUUUAUUCCCUUCUUUUCUCUCUCCUCCUCUUUUUUGUUUUUUUAAUGGAUGAAAUCGGUUGAAAUGAUCAUUGGACUAUGGUUUGAGAAAAGACGUAAAACAAGAAGAAAAAAAGAAUCCUAUGGAGCCGAACCUGUUAUGCAGGAUUUACUCAAAGUUUGUGGAAUCCGUGCAGCCAUGCAGAGACACAUGCACACAACACCUCGGGAUGGAGCUGCAGAAAAACAGGCCACAGAUGAGAGUCUCCACCUCCUGCCCCGAGGAUCAAAGGUCAGCAGCGGGGUCAGAGCGAGGCCCUGUCUCUCCGCAGUCCCAGGUGAAAUAUGCACACGCUGCUAAUCAGCAGCUUUGGCCUGCACACUUGAACUUGAACUUGUUUGUUGCUACUGUAUAUAGUGAUACUUACACUGGAUCCUGUGAUGAUAGUGAGUGUGGAUCACAACAAUAAGUCCUGAUUUAGUCUUUUCAUGUGAACACUUUGAUCCACUUUGAUUUGUUAUCUAAUUUGUUUACUUUUAAUGGUGGUUGAGAAAAGGGAGGUUCCUUCUAAAUUAUAUAUUUGAAUCCCUCUGUUUAGAAGAUUUAAAUCCUUUAAAGAUACUUCAUUAUGUAUUUUUGAAUAUAUGCAUUGGUGGC
rnacentral:lncRNA from 1 species